rnacentral:rRNA from 1 species
ACCGAGGGAAGAAAAAGCCCCUUUUUGACCUUCGGGCCUUGCGCUAUCAGAUGAGCCUAGGUCGGAUUAGCUAGUUGGUGAGGUAAUGGCUCACCAAGGCUACGAUCCGUAACUGGUCUGAGAGGAUGAUCAGUCACACUGGAACUGAGACACGGUCCAGACUCCUACGGGAGGCAGCAGUGGGGAAUAUUGGACAAUGGGCGAAAGCCUGAUCCAGCCAUGCCGCGUGUGUGAAGAAGGUCUUCGGAUUGUAAAGCACUUUAAGUUGGGAGGAAGGGCAUUAACCUAAUACGUUAGUGUUUUGACGUUACCGACAGAAUAAGCACCGGCUAACUCUGUGCCAGCAGCCGCGGUAAUACAGAGGGUGCAAGCGUUAAUCGGAAUUACUGGGCGUAAAGCGCGCGUAGGUGGUUUGUUAAGUUGAAUGUGAAAUCCCCGGGCUCAACCUGGGAACUGCAUCCAAAACUGGCAAGCUAGAGUAUGGUAGAGGGUAGUGGAAAUUUCCUGUGUAGCGGUUGAAAUGCGUAAAUAUAGGAAGGAACACCAGUUGGCGAAGGCGACUACCUGGGACUGAUACUGACACCUGAGGUGCGAAAAGCCGUGGGGGAGCAAACAGAGAAUUAGAUAACCCUGGGUAG